rnacentral:rRNA from 1 species
UACGUAGGGUGCAAGCGUUGUCCGGAAUUAUUGGGCGUAAAGAGCUCGUAGGCGGUUCGUCACGUCGGCUGUGAAAACCUGAGGCUCAACCUCAGGCCUGCAGUCGAUACGGGCGGACUCGAGUUCGGCAGGGGAGACUGGAAUUCCUGGUGUAGCGGUGAAAUGCGCAGAUAUCAGGAGGAACACCGGUGGCGAAGGCGGGUCUCUGGGCCGAUUCUGACGCUGAGGAGCGAAAGCGUGGGGAGCGAACAGG